rnacentral:rRNA from 1 species
UGCCCUAUGGUGGAGGAUAACCCCGGGAAACUGGGGAUAAUACUCCAUAAGUCAGGAGUACUGGAAUGUCUCCUAACUGAAAGUUGCGGCGCCAUAGGAUGAAUCUGCGGCCGAUUAGGUAGUUGUUGGGGUAACGGCCCAACAAGCCUGUAAUCGGUACGGGUUGUGGGAGCAAGAGCCCGGAGAUGGAAUCUGAGACACGAUUCCAGGCCCUACGGGGCGCAGCAGGCGCGAAAACUUUACAAUGCAGGAAACUGUGAUAAGGGAACCCCGAGUGCCCGUAAACGCGGGCUGUCCCGGUGUUUAAAACACAUCGGAAGAAAGGGCCGGGCAAGACCGGUGCCAGCCGCCGCGGUAAUACCGGCGGCUCGAGUGGUGACCACUUUUAUUGGGCUUAAAGCGUUCGUAGCUUGAUUUUUAAGUCUCUUGGGAAAUCUCACGGCUUAACUGUGAGGCGUCUAAGAGAUACUGGGAAUCUAGGGACCGGGAGAGGUAGAGGU